UCAUUUCAACUGUUUCAAAUGGGGCAACAGCUGCCAGGCCUGCGAAGCCUCCUACUCGCUCCCUGGUCCGGUUCAUGAGGAAGGCGGGACAUCGAAGCAGAGCAUUUACACCCUAGGAGGCGAUGGGGGGACAGGCCAGGUUGGGGCCAGAGCCUCCUGGGAACAGGCAGCUUCAAACAAUGAGCUCGGCACCCCCAAAGCAAGUCAGAUUAUCACGUGUUCUUCACGUUCUCCAUGUUUUUGUUUCGGCUGCAUUAGAGAUCAUGUCUUCGGAUCUACUCUCCAUUUCACUAGUCCUUCCUCUAACGACAUCUAACCACAAUUAGAGCAAUCUGCUGAUUACUGAAUCUUUAUUGUUUUAAUUUUAUUAUUAAACCUUGAAGCUUUA